rnacentral:tRNA from 1 species
AGGUAGGUAGUUUAUUGUGAAAAUAUUAAAUUGUAAAUUUAAAGAAAAUACUUCUGUU